UCUCCCUUUGCGGGGAUAACCUUCCGAAAGGAGGGCUAAUACCGCAUAAGACCACGACUCCGAAAGGAGACGAGGUUAAAGCAGGCCUCUAUACAUAAGCUUGCUCCAAAGGAUGAGCCCGCGGCCCAUCAGCUAGUUGGUAGGGUAACGGCCUACCAAGGCUAAGACGGGUAGCUGGUCUGAGAGGAUGAUCAGCCACACUGGAACUGAGACACGGUCCAG
rnacentral:rRNA from 1 species